rnacentral:rRNA from 1 species
GAACGCUAGCGGCAGGCUUAAUACAUGCAAGUCGUGGGGCAGCGCGGGUAGCAAUACCUGGCGGCGACCGGCAAACGGGUGCGGAACGCGUACGCAACCUUCCUUUAAGCGGGGAAUAGCCCAGGGAAACUUGGAUUAAUACCCCAUAAGAUUAUGGUGUGGCAUCACACAGUAAUUAAAGCUUCGGCACUUAAAGAUGGGCGUGCGGCUGAUUAGGUAGUUGGCGGGGUAACGGCCCACCAAGCCUACGAUCAGUAACUGGUGUGAGAGCACGACCAGUCACACGGGCACUGAGACACGGGCCCGACUCCUACGGGAGGCAGCAGUAAGGAAUAUUGGUCAAUGGACGCAAGUCUGAACCAGCCAUGCCGCGUGGAGGAUUAAGGCCCUCUGGGUUNUAAACUCCUUUAUCUGGAAGAAUCGGAAUUCUUUUCCGGUGACGUACAGAGAAUAGCACCGGCUAACUCCGUGCCAGCA